rnacentral:rRNA from 1 species
GACGAACGCUGGCGGCGUGCUUAACACAUGCAAGUCGAGCGAAAGGAUUCCCUUCGGGGAUGAAUUUAGCGGCGGACGGGUGAGUAACACGUGGGCAACCUGCCUUGUAGAGGGGGAUAGCCUUCCGAAAGGAAGAUUAAUACCGCAUAACAUCAUUUUACCGCAUGGUAGUUUGAUCAAAGGAGCAAUCCGCUAUAAGAUGGGUCCGCGUCGCAUUAGCUAGUUGGUGAGGUAACGGCUCACCAAGGCGACGAUGCGUAGCCGACCUGAGAGGGUGAGAGACCACAUCGGAACUGCGACCCGGCCCAGACUCCUACGGGAGGCAGCAGAGGGGAAUAUAGCACAAUGGGGGAAACCCUGAUGCAGCAACGCCGCGUGAGUGAUGAAGGCCUUCGGGUUGUAAAGCUCUGUCUUUGGGGACGAUAAUGACGGUACCCAAGGAGGAAGCCACGGCUAACUACGUGCCAGCCGCCGCCGUAAUAC